UUUUAGCUCAGUGGGAUGAGCAUGAGACUCUUAAUCUCUGGGUCAUGGGUUCAAGCCCCAUGUUGGGCAAAA